rnacentral:lncRNA from 1 species
UUUUUUCUUUUUUCUUUUUUUUUUUUGAGACAGGGUCUCACUCUGUUGCCCAGGCUGGUGCAGUAGCAUGAUCUCAACUCACUGCAGCUCUGCCUCCUGGGCUCAAUUGACCCUUCCACCUCAGCCUCCCAAGCAGCUGGGACUACAGGCAUGCAACACCACGCCUGGCUGAUUUUUGUAUUUUUGUAGAGACAGGUUUUUGCCAUGUGGCCCAGGCUGGUCUCGAACUACUGGGCUCAAGCAAUCCUCCCGCCUCAGCCUCCCAAAGUGCUGGAAAUACAGGUGUGAGCCACCACGCUGGGCCAUAAAAACAAUUUUUAAUGUUUCCCUACUCAUUUAUAACAAAACCCAACUCUAACUAAGUUACUUUAAAUUAAAAAUAGUUUCAUGUUUACAUGCAUCUAUGUUCUCACCAUCAAUUCAACAACUAUUCAUAGAAAUCAUAAAAGCAUGUCGCCCUGCAGAAACAGCGGAAAAUCUUUAAGUAAAAUAUGUAAUUGAUGACCUCCUAACAAGGUGCAAUCUGGAAUUUUAUUUACACCAUGAUCUAUGAAGUUAUGACAUUAACAGGCGUGAUUCUCAUUUUAUGGAAACCAGUGAGGGCCAGCAACUCUUCCCUUCAUCUCCAACUCCAACGGUUGCCCUCCCCUGCCCUUUCUCCCCACCCGUUGAAUUUAUUCAACUACAGAAAUGACAUCAAAUGAAACUCUAAUUCUUCAACUUAAAAAUUUUUUUCCUAUAGAAAAGUGUUGUUACAAGAGCUGGGAAAACCAUUUCUGGGUUUAUCCAACUAGGAUUCCAAAUUUCUAGAAAUGAGAUGGACAGGAUUGUAACCACCAUUUAAGCUCCUAAAGUCGGUCCAUAGGGUUGAGGGAAAGAAAAACUCCAGCACUCAUCCUGAAUCUCGGUCAUUAUAGAAUACACUGUUCGACUUUUUCCUCCCAUACAAGUAACUUAGGUUUUGUAGGAUUUUUACAGAUAAAACCGUGAAUCCACAUACAGUUAGUUAAUCCUCAUGGCAACCUUGUAAGGCCAGUGUUUUUUUCCCUUUAAAUAGUUGAGGAUAGGCUUGACC